GGCGCUGUGGCGGAGUGGUUAUCGCGCAAGACUAGAAAUCUUGUUCCUUCGGGAGCGCAGGUUCGAAUCCUGCCGGCGUCG